ensembl:lncRNA
CCCCCAUUCACCUCUAUGUUGUCUUCUUUUCCUUCUCACCCUCUACCCCUUCCUUCUUUCCUCAGAGCUCCUGGAUCCCCUCUAGGUGUCAUCUGACAGUCUUUUCCUGGAGAGGGGGACUGAAGUGGAGAGGGAGGAGGGAAUAAAAAGGGAUGAAGGAGGAAAAGCAGACACUAACAGACAAGGAGUGAGGGAGACACAGUCGAAGGAAGAGAGACACACUAUCGCAGCUAUGCCCGAAGCCAAGAAGCCAGCAGCCAAGACAGAUAAGGCUGCAGCAGCACCUGCUGGUGAGGAAACUGUCCCAGGGGGACAGUCCGAGCUGACCGGACUAUUUGUAGAGAGGCCAGAGAGCACUACAGUAAUCAAAGGGAAGAACGUCACCUUUGUGGCUAAAGUGGACUCAUCUGACCUGCUGAGGAAGCCCAACAUGAAAUGGCUGAAAGGGAAGUGGCUGGACCUGGGCAGCAAGGCUGGCAAGCACGUGCAGUUUAAAGAGGCCUAUGACAGGAACUCCAAGGUCUACACAUAUGAGAUGAGCAUCAUCAAAGUAGUGGAAGGAGACGCAGGUGGCUACCGUUGUGAGGUCACCUCCAAAGACAAGUGUGACAGCUGUACAUUUGAAGUCACAGUGGAAGGUGAGCAGCCCGCCAACAUCCUGGAUGCCUUCAAGCGAUCGGGAGAUGCAGGAGAGGAUGCAGGUGACCUGGACUUCAGUGCCCUCCUCAAAAAAAGGGAAAAAAAGGCRAGGGACGAGCCCAAAGAGGAUGUGGAUGUGUGGGAGAUCCUGAAGGAUGCUAAGCCAUGUGACUAUGAGAAGAUUGCCUUUGACUAYGGCAUCACAGACCUCAGGGGCCUGCUCAAGAGACUGAAGAAGAUGAAGAAGGUGGAACCCAAGAAGAGUGACGCCUUCCUGAAGAAGCUAGAGCAAUGUUACUCUGUGGACAAGGGCAAGAGGACCCAGAUGCAUGUUGAGCUCCAUGACCCCAACGUUCAGGUCAAAUGGCUGAAGAACGGAGUGGAGAUCAAACCCUCUGUGUAUGAGUUGUUGGUGGGAGAGAAGGUGGAGUUUGAGUGUGAGGUGUCAGAGGAAGGAGCCAACGUCAAAUGGAUGAAAGAUGGAGUUGAGCUGACCAAGGAUGGGAAGUACAGGAUAAAGAAGGAUGGGAAGAAACACACUCUGGUCAUCAAUGAAGCAACCAUAGAGGACAUCGGAAUGUACUAUGUUUACACUAAUGGGGGAGAAUCCAAAGGAGAACUGGAAGUGGAAGCCAAGGAGCUGGAGGUUCUGCAGAGUAUAGCUGACCUGUCGGUGAAGGCGUGUGAACAGGCCAUGUUCAAGUGUGAGGUGUCUGAUGAGAAGGUGGUGGGCAAGUGGUUCAAGGACGGUGUGGAGGUCAAACCCGGCAACCGCAUCAAGAUGUCACACAUCGGAAGGAUCCACAAGCUGACGAUUGAUGACGUGAAGCCGCAGGACGAAGGAAACUACACCUUUGUCCCUGAAGGAUACGCACUCUCCCUCUCCGCUAAACUCAACUUCAUUGACCCUCCCAAAAUCCACCUGGACACCAGUAGCACGGGCAGCAAGAACACCAUUGUUGUGGUGGCUGGCAACAAGCUCCGCCUUGAUGUGGAGAUCACAGGAGAGCCUGUCCCCACUGUGUGCUGGAUGAAAGGAGACACUGUGAUAUCGGAGGCGGAGGGCAGAGUGAGGGUGGAAACUAGGACCACUCUGAGCAGCUUUGUCAUUGAGGGGGCGGAGAGGCCAGACGAAGGCCAGUACUCUAUCAUAGUGACCAACCCAGCCGGAGAGGACAGGGCUGAGCUCAAUGUCAAGAUUGUUGAUGUGCCUAACCCUCCAGAGAACGUCAGAUGUAUGGGAGUUGGCGAGGACACAGCCACCAUUACAUGGGAUCCCCCCAAAUUUGACGGGGGUGCACCCAUCAAAGGCUACUUGAUGGAGAGGAAGAAGCAGGGUUCCUCCAGGUGGACCAAGCUGAACUUUGAGGUGUUUGAGUCAACCACGUACGAGGCUAAGAAGAUGAUUGAGGGUGUUUUUUAUGAGAUGAGAGUGUUUGCUGUCAACGGGAUCGGGAUCUCCCAGCCCAGCGGCAACUCAAAGCCCUUCAUGCCCAUAGCCCCUACCAGUGAGCCCACUCGUCUGACGGUGGAGGAUGUGACAGACAGCACCUGUGCCCUGAAGUGGCGUCCUCCAGAGAGGGUUGGAGCAGGGGGCGUUGACGGGUACAUAAUCGAGUGGUGCAAAGAAGGAGAGGAUAACUGGGUGGAAGCCAAUAAGGAGCCAGUGGACAAGAACACGUACCGUGUGAAGGGGCUGCCAACAGGAGAGAAGCUCUUGUUCAGAGUGGUGGCUAUGAACAUCGCUGGACGCAGCCCCCCCUGCACCAUGAAACAGUCUGUCAUCAUCAGAGAGAUCAUGGAGUACCCAAAGAUCCGCCUGCCUCGCCAGCUAAGAACCAAGUUCAUCAGGAAAGUGGGCGAGAAGAUCAACCUGGUCAUCCCCUUCCAGGGGAAGCCUCGCCCCGUGGUCAACUGGCUGAAAGAUGGUGAGCCCCUGGAGAAUAAGUCGGUGGGCAUCCGCACCAGUGACUUUGACACCAUCCUGUUCAUCCGCUCGGCAGAAAGGGACCACUCUGGGACGUACACCCUGUCUGUCCAGAUAGACAACAUCUCUCUCUUUCUUUACUGUGUAUCCACCUCACCUCUCCUUCUCUGCCCUCUCUACCCUCCUCCUCUGUUCUCAAAAUCUGCCUCUAUAUAUCCACAUAUCAUCCCUUUUUUUUCAACCUCUAGGUGGUUCACAGUGUACGAGCACAACCGCCGGCCCAGCUGCACAGCGUCUGACCUGUCAUGGGGAACGUACCUCCUUCCGUGUUCCCUCCCUCCUCUCUUAACUCCCCCUCUCCCGUCCUCUCCUCAGGCUAAGAUAGUGUGGAUGAAGAACAAGAUGAUCAUUGGGGAGGAUCCUAAAUUCUUGAUGCAGAACAACCAGGGGGUGUUGACCCUGAACAUCAGGAAGCCCGGCCAGUUUGACGGGGGCAAGUACUCCUGUAAGGCCAUCAACGACCUGGGGGAGGACGAGGUGGAGUGCAGGCUGGAAGUCCGAGGUACUGGCACACACACACACAGUGUCACGCAUUCACACAUAGACAUGCACAAACACACACACACACACACACACACACACACACACUACAACUCCUAUCAUACUCAGCAUGAGACAGACUUUUAUUGGCAGUCAAUAGUUGUCUAA